AACGAACGCUGGCGGCAUGCCUAACACAUGCAAGUCGAACGAGCCCUUCGGGUCUAGUGGCGCAUGGUUGUGUAACGCGUGGGAACCUGCCCUUAGGUUCGGAAUAACUCUCCGAAUGGGGUGCUAUUACCGGAUAAUGUCUUCGGACCAAAGAUUUAUCGCCUUUGGAUGUGCCCGCGUUGGAUUAGCUCGUUGGUACGGUAAAAGCAUACCAAGGCGACGAUGCAUAGCUGGUCUGAGAGGAAGAUCAGCGACACUGGGAGUGAGACACGGCCGAGAAUCCUACGCGAGGGAGCAGAGGGGAAUAGUGGAAAAUGGGCGAAGGGAUGAAGCAGCAAGGACGGGUAAGUGAUGAAGGCAGUAGGGUUGUAAAGCUCUUUUAACCGGGAAGAUAAUGACGGUACCGGGAGAAUAAGCUCCGGCUAACUACGUG
rnacentral:rRNA from 1 species